CUGGGUUUGACAUCGCCGGAAAACUCGCAGAGAUGAGGGCUCCCUUGUGGCUGGUUCACAGGUGGGCAUGGCUGUCGUCAGCUCGUGUCGUGAGAUGUUGGGUUAAGUCCCGCAACGAGCGCAACCCUCGUUCCAUGUUGCCAGCGCGUUAUGGCGGGGACUCAUGGGAGACUGCCGGGGUCAACUCGGAGGAAGGUGGGGAUGACGUCAAGUCAUCAUGCCCCUUAUGUCCAGGGCUUCACACAUGCUACAAUGGCCGGUACAAAGGGCUGCUAAGCCGUGAGGUGGAGCGAAUCCCAUAAAGCCGGUCUCAGUUCGGAUCGGGGUCUGCAACUCGACCCCGUGAAGUCGGAGUCGCUAGUAAUCGCAGAUCAGCAACGCUGCGGUGAAUA
rnacentral:rRNA from 1 species